AUAAUAGGAGUAUGAGAAAGUAUAUUUGUCUUCCAAACAAAAGGUCUAAAGUUAGCUAUUAUA
rnacentral:tRNA from 2 species